UUAUCUCUGUAGAGUCUGCAUAUCAAUAAGCGGAGGAAAAGAAACUAACUAGGAUUCCCUCAGUAACGGCGAGUGAAGCGGGAAGAGCUCAAAUUUGAAAUCUUCAAGGUUUUACCUUGACGAAUUGUAGUUUAAAGAAGUGUUUUCUGUUGGAGUUUUGGUAAAAGUUCUUUGGAAUAGGACAUCAUAGAGGGUGAGAAUCCCGUAUUUGACCAUUAUUUCCAGCUUUGUGAUACACUUUCAAAGAGUCGGAUUGUUUGGGAAUGCAGUCCAAAAUGGGUGGUAAAUUUCAUCUAAAGCUAAAUACUGGCGAGAGACCGAUAGCUGAACAAGUACCGUGAGGGAUAGAUGAAAAGAACUUUGAAAAGAGAGUUAAACAGUACGUGAAAUUGUCAAAAGGGAAGCGUUUGACACCAGUGUUGUUUUCUCGAAAAUCAAUUAAAAAAGGCAGGAUUUUGUGUUGUAUUGACUUUAUCAGCUUUCUGCACUCUUUCCUUGUCUUUUUUAAUGCACUUUUCGUUUAACAAGUCAACAUCAACUUCUUUUGUUGUAAAAGGGUCAUUGGAAGGUGGCUUUCUUUUCGGAGAAAGUGUUUACAGCCUUUGGCCUCUGCAAUCGGAGAGAUUGAGGUCUGCAGCGUAGAUCCUUCGGGGUUAGAUACAUUUGUGCUAAGUUAUAGCCUUUCAUAGACAACUUGUUGACUAUGAUCAGUCAUGUAGCUUACUCGCUUAUGCUAUUUUACCUACGCUUAGGAUGUUGAUAGUCACAGCGUGUAC
rnacentral:rRNA from 1 species